ACGCCCCUGACUGAUAUAUUUGCUGAGGUUCCUUGAAAGUAAUAUAUCCAUUAACAGCACCACAUUCAGGUAUAAGUAGAAAGUUUAUGUAAAAGAUAUUUUGUUGAAUAGAGCAUUUCAUAAAGCCUGUUUUGAGGUUUAAAUACUUUAUGGGGUAAGGAUCUUUUCUCAAAACAAAUUAAUUGUGUCUGUUCAUAUUACCAUAUCACUUCAACAUAUCAAAAUUUCUGCACUGAAAUUCCCAAAGUCAUAUAAUAAUAACUUUACGGGUAAUAAGAAAGUUAUUUAUUAUUAUGUAUAUCUACUUAUUUCUUCAUUUUUUUAGGGGGAAGGGGCACAACAAAUAAUACUAAGCUUCAAUCUUUUUAUUUCAAAUCAUGAUUCAAAAUACUACUUAAAAAU
rnacentral:lncRNA from 1 species